GGGUGCUCGAGUGGCGAACGGGUGAGUAACACGUGAGUAACCUGCCCUUGACUUUGGGAUAACUUCAGGAAACUGGGGCUAAUACCGGAUAGGAGCUCCUGCUGCAUGGUGGGGGUUGGAAAGUUUCGGCGGUUGGGGAUGGACUCGCGGCUUAUCAGCUUGUUGGUGGGGUAGUGGCUUACCAAGGCUUUGACGGGUAGCCGGCCUGAGAGGGUGACCGGCCACAUUGGGACUGGGAUACGGCCCAG
rnacentral:rRNA from 1 species